UACGAGGGGGGCAAGCGUUGUUCGGAUUUAUUGGGCGUAAAGGGUGCGUAGGCGGUCUGGCAAGUCUUGUGUGAAAUCUUUGGGCUCAACCCAAAGCCUGCACGAGAAACUGCCGGGCUUGAGUAUGGGAGAGGUGAGUGGAAUUUCCGGUGUAGCGGUGAAAUGCGUAGAGAUCCGGAGGAACACCAGUGGCGAAGGCGGCUCGCUGGGCUAUACCUGACGCUGAGGCGCGAAAGCGUGGGGAGCGAACCGG
rnacentral:rRNA from 1 species